CUUUGUAACCUCAAAAUUUCUUAGACAUAUAAAUGUUGGAAAUUUCACCAUUGGGAAAUUUCAUACUUGAAAAUUUUCCUAUUGAUAGUGGGUCUUGACUAUUGGAAUGUGAACCCCAUUGGCAUGGGAGGUUCCUCCUCUUCCCUUCUUAAAAUUACUUUAGGACAGAAACCUUUUGCUGAACAAUGGAAAGGACUUUGACCUAUGCUUAAGCAUAGAACAGGAAUUUCUUUGAGUCAUGAUUGAUUUUAGAAUUGAUACAAUGGAGAUACUUGGAAUAAAUCUCCACCCUAUUCAGUCCUAACAGGAUUGAGUAAGGGCUGCAGCCUAGAUCAAAAUUUAAUUAUUCCAAUCUCUACCCUACUCAGGUUAACAGGAUUUAGAAAGGGCUGUAGCAAAGGAUCAAAGAUUUAAUUAUUUGAAAAUAUGACCUUCAACAGACAUGUGCAAAGCCAGACCUCUGGGCGGUCCUGGGUUAAGCUAGAGCCUCCAUUGGCACAGGGAAAUUGAUGGACAGGUGAUUGGUAGAUGUGAGGACUGAGGGGAGGGAACUUGGAUGGUUUCCUUAAGGAUAGGGGGGUCUGAAGACUCGAGGUGGUGGUGUGAAUUUUAAAAAGUCUCCAUCUUGGUCUAGCACCCAAAAAAAUUGUGCACACCCACACUACACGGGCAUGUGCUAGUCAAUGACAAAGCAGAAAUAACUAACUGCCCACCUGGGCUGUCCUAAGCCAAGCUAGAGCCAACCAUUGGAUUUUGUGAGACACAGGAAGUGAGGUAGGGAACAGCCUCUGGAAUUCGCUCACUUCCUGUGGGGAGAGGGAGACGCCAGUUGGUGUUAGGGAGAGUUGGUGUUAGGAGCUUGGACAGAGAGGAUGCCCGCAGACAGCUUUCCUUCAGAUCGGUCACUGGUUGAGGAGUUUGUCUGAGUGGUUGCAAUGUGCUCUGAGAAGCUUGCUCUGAAGGAAGCUGAAGGUGGGGGCCUCUGAGACUGUUUCUCCAUUUUGGUCACAGAGAAGAAAUGGAAAAAAAACAACAGUGUCAGAUGUCUGCUCAUUGGAAGGAAAGCUAUGGUGAAUCUGGACAGUAUACCAAAAAGCAGAGACAAAGGAUUGUACAGUCAAAACUAUAGAGUAGCAAUGCAUGACUGUGAGAGAAGGACUAUAAGGAAAUCUGAGUGCUACAGAAUCAGCACUUUUGAAUUAUGGUGCUGGAGAAGAUGUCUGGAGUUCUUUGGAUAGCAAGGAGAUCAAAUCAGUAAAUACUUAAAGAAAUUAGUUCAGACUAUGCAUUGGAAGUUCAAAUACUGAAGUUAGAAGUUUAAAUACUUUGGCCACAUAAUGAGAACACAGGGCUGAUUUGAAAAGAUCUUAAUAUUGGGAAAGUUUGAAGGCAAAAAUAGAAGGGGACAGUAGAGGAUGAGACAGAUAGAUAGUGUCAUGGAAACAAUGAAUAUGAACUUGGAUGUACUUUGGGAGAUAGUGGAGGAUAGAAGGACCUGGCAUAAAUGGUCCAUGGAGUCAUGGAGAGUCAGACACAACUGAACAAUAAUUUCCCCAGCCUAUUUCUUCACUUUUAAUUUUAUUUUUAAAAGCUGAGCUCAGUUUACUGAGGGUAGAGUGGCACUGUGCCAAGCUUUAGGCUUUUUAAUGCUACUAUUUUCAGAGCUAUUUCUGGGUUUCUGCAAGUUUUCAAUGCUUCCAAGAUAGUGUUAUCCUAGGAGAGGUGUACUCUCCUGCUAUGUACUCUGGGUCUUUGUUCCCUUUCAGGCCCAUAUACUAAUAAUCCUCUUGGUUCUGAAACUAUGACUAGGUCUCCUGCUUUCCUGCAGCCACAAAUGCUAGCAUUCCUCUCUACCCUUGACCCCCUGCUCUCUUGUGACCCAUUACAAGUGCUCUUCUCCAUCCUGGAACUGUGGCCCAGAAAUGCUUAUGGGCAAUAGAGUUGCCAAUCAGUUCUAGAUAAACUCAGUGCCAGCAGAAAGUCCCCUGUGAUCUCUUCCUAACAAGUUGCCUGACCUUCUUGUCUCUGUUCUGAGAGCUCCAAAGCUGCUGCUGCCACAGCUACAUCUGCUGGGAGCCAUCAGGCCACAACACCUUGACAGAGUCAUCCGUGGUAGCUGAGGAGGCCACAGAGUGGCACUUGGCAAGAUGUGAUUGCCCACUCAGUCCCCCCUUUGCAUGACCUCUCUUAUCAAUGUACUUACCUAUGGAAUUGGCAUGAUUAUUAUUCCCCCUACUCUCAAAAGGACUAAUGCAAGAGCAAAAUACCUGUACCCUAAUUCCCCAAAACAUCACCAAAAGAUCAGACCCCUAAACCCAAUCCCAAAAGACUAUCAUGGGUUAACUUUUACUUAGGUACAUAAUUCUUAGCAAAACCACAGCUACAAGCCAAGUCCAAAACUUUCCCACUCACAGAAACCUAUUCUCAUGAAGCCAGCACACAAAUCAAUCAUAGAGGCCCAUACAAUAAGUACAAGUACAUCAAGCUUCAAUAUGCCUCAGUGACUCAAUUACACAAUCUGUAACUCAGAAACUCCCUAGUAAAAACCUUGAAAAAUGAUCAGUCUCAAUUUGAAUUGUGUUCCCAGUACCCCUCAACCUCAAUGAUAUGAUUGUUGAAUUGUCUUUUAAGAACUGUUGAUUAAUUAUUCCAUUUUAUUAAAAGCAAUAAGUAAUUUUCCUUGAUUGUUGGUAAGCUAAAAACUUCUCACAGGGUAAUGAGAAAAUUAAGCCACCUGUGACAAAAUCAUUUAUCUUGUAUGCAACCUUUUAUUCUGUCUGUAGUCACAAUACAAGAAUAUAGAAUGUUAAUCAAGUGAUUUGUUAAAAGUUAAUGUAUUACUUUUCCAAUUAUCUCUCUUUGGACAUGUGUGUUAGGUAAUGUAUCUGUGUGCCAAGAAAAUGGGUAUAAAAAUAAAAACCAGGCAUGGGGAUGGCAGAACAGCUAUCAGAUGCAAUACAGUCCCAUGGCAGUAAUGAUUAAGCUGUCUUCCAUUUGUUAUUUUUUUGACUGAUCGUUGGCCCCCUGUCAGGAAACCCUGGAGUUGCUAGUGAGGCUGGACUUCGCCCAUGGCAUGCAUCCAUGGUCUAUGCUUGUUGCUCCUGUCCAACUGUAAGCCAGAGCCCAUCUCAAUGUUACUAACCUCUCCUGUGGACCUCCUAACUUGUGUGAAGGCUGGAAAAAUGUCUCCCUCUGACUUUUUGUUGAUUCUUGUUAAUAUUUUAAUCCUCUGAAGAUUGUACCUUCAUUUCUAAUUAUUUGUUGAAUAAUAAAAAGCAAGUCAGAGAAAGAAAAGACACUGCCAUAUGUGGCCCACUGUUUCCUUUUACAUACCUCCUCCCCUAGCUAACCUGAGCUCAUAUUCCCCUCGCUGGCUUGUGUUACUGUCCUGUCCUCAGACCUCAAACUUACCCCCUAAUAUCACUUUUCUGGGUCUCUUGGACUUGACCUCAGUCCUGGUCAGAGGCCAUUCUUCUGUAUGCUAGGAGUCACGUGAGACAAGAAGCAAGUGUCUUCAGGGGUGCUAGGGAGCCACAAGGGUUCUGGCAUCCUCCCAGUGUAUGCAAGUGUCCCCCUUAUACAGAUAAGUCUCAGACCAUGUUCUUGAUACAAUCACAAGAUGGGGCUGUUGGAACCUCAAAAGAACAGGCAUUCAAACUCAUUAAUUCUCAUACUCUGCUGCUCUAAGAUUUUAUUUGAAUCAUUAUUAUAUUUUCAAUAUAAUUUUAUUUUGUAAAAAUAUUUUUUCAUGGUUACAUGAUUAAUAUUCUUUCCUU